rnacentral:lncRNA from 1 species
UGCCAGGUGUGAGAAGGAUGGUAGGUGCUGGAAGACGGAAAAGAAGAAGUGGUCCCUGAUCCAAGAAUUCAUUGUCUGAUGGGGAAACUGAGGCCCAGAGCGACUAGAGAGUUGGCCCAAGCUUGCAGAGCUGGAACCUUUGGCUCCUGAGCCUGAGUCUUGGGGGGUCUUGCUUGUGGAACCUCAUUUGACCUCUCUUAAAGGUUCACUCAGCGAUCUCUUUGCCUUCCUCCGUUCCUGCCUCCCCACCAAGAUGUGUGAGAAUGUUAUGAGGUUGCGUCUGUGAAAAACACUCUAUCCCGAGUGUGAGGCUGGAUGAACUUCCACACCCUGAAUAUGCUGCUAUCCCCACCAGCAACAUCAAGACACGGAACGUGACCAGUUCCCCCGGUGCCUCCAUCAUACCUCAGACGGACCACUGCUCUGACUUCCAUCACCAUGGAUGCGCUUUGCCCGUUCUUGAACUCCUUAUAAAUGGGAUCAAGCAGUGUGUUCCCUUUUAUGUCUAGUUACUUCUGCUCAACAUCUGUAAGAUCCAUCCAGUGGUGUGCUGAUAAAUUGGCUCUCCAAAAAGAAAAAAAAAGAGAGAGAAAAAGAAGAAAAAAAAGAAAGGCCCUAUUUGUAGUAUUUGCCAAUUUCAGUGAUGUAAAUACUUCCACCUUGACUGAUUUCAAGCCACCAAUGAUUUAACAACCAGCUUGCAAAAUUCCAGAAUAUUUCACAAUCAGCUCUCAUGAGCUGGCAAGAGGCUGCCCCACAGUGUCACAGGCUCCAUUCUAAUUUUGUGUAGUGGAUAUCAUUCAUUCUCCUUUUUGUUUAGUAUUCCUUGUAUGAACAUGUGGGGCGGUCUUUUUAUUAUGGGCUUUUGGCAAAAGCCACUAGUUUUCAGAAUGGGGCAUUCGUUUGUGCAGCUCAUUGCUGCUGGAGGGCGGAGGCGCGAGCUCUGGAGACAGACCUUGCCGGUUCCGGUCCUGUCUCUGCCAGGACCUCUCCUGACUCCCGUUCUCAGCCUCAGCUCUGCAGACGGGAAGCACCGUACCCACCUCACAGGCCUGUGAGCACACUUGGUACUCAGUAGGUGCUCAAUAAAUGUUCCCUCCAUCCCUUUCUUUCUCUUUCUCAUCCCAGGGAGGGUGAUGGUACCUGGGUCAAGUCACGUUGGGGUGGAUCUGUGUCCCUGCACGGGUCUCUGGGCCGUUCUGCUCUGGUGCCCAGUGCGCCUGCAGGAUCCUCAGCUUUGUUUCCAUUUAGUUUCUUUGAAGAGGAAGAAGAGAAGGAAGGAGGAAAGGAGGGAGAGAAAGAGGGAAGGAAGGAAACAGGCCUGUCAGUUUCAUCGCUGCGGGCCUGGCCUGGAGGAAGAGCUCUGUUUAUGGCUUGAUUUGGCUGCCAUCAUGGGCCCAGGACAUCUCUUCACAUGUGAGAAUGACGUUCCUUUUGUUCCUGAGCUGCCUUCCUGCUUCUAAAUAGAUUAUCACCACCCAGGUGUCCUCUGGCGAGACACCCCAUAUCCAGUGGAAUGUGUAAGGGAACCCCGGAAAGGCUGCCAAAAGAAGGACACAAAUGUGACAAAGAGUGUCACAGAGUGACAGUCUCUGGACAUAUCUUUUUUUCAGGGUGAAGGGGAACACGGAGGGGACGCCAGGGCCUUCUCCCAGACCACCUGCCUGGGGGCCUCCGCAGGACACGGAGCCGCUGACACUCAGCUCGCCGUCCACCGGGGCCGGUGUCCUCCGAUGAGCCUCUCCUGAAGGGAGGGCAAAAAAUCUCUUCCAUGUCAUUGUCCCAGUGCACUUUCUAUCUGCAACAGGCUGAAAAGUCCCCUCCUGCCUCCCUUGUCAAUUGUAAAAGCACUGAUUGUGGCCGAGUGAAACCAGAUGCCCCUCCCGGCCCGCGAGUGCAGCCCUUGGCCCCCCGACUGCAGGGCGUGAUGGGGCACACCGUCAGCUUCCAAACCCACGACUGUUUUCUUUGGAUCCCCCUCCAGCACCCCAGUUCCAGGACUUGGGGGCUCCCGGUGAAAGAUGCUGGUUUCCAUGACCUCUUCAAUCAACUGAGUCCCGGGGACAAAAACCCUGUUCGGACCCCCAGCUGGAGCCCCACUUCUUGGCAGUCUGUCUGUGGCUCCUGCCGCCGCUGCUUCCCCAGGGCUUUGGGAUGAUAUCUCAAAGAGGCAGCAUGGCAUAAGGAACAGAAAAGGUCAUGAUCCUGGAAGUGGGUGGACCUAAUUUUAAACCCUGGCCCUGUGACAUGCUUGCUGGGUGACCCAGGGCAAAUGCCAGCUCCCACGUGUGCUGCCCGGUGUAAUUCCUUUGAGAGUGCUGCAGGCUCGGGAUUUCAACCCACUUUCCAAGGGUUGAGGUGGAAGAGCUGCCAAGGCCACCCGGCUAAGGCAAGACCGAGCAGGAUUUGAACCCGUGCUGAUCUGACUGCAAAGCCACCCUCGGUCCCCUAUUCCUCACUCUCAGUGCUGCUGGCCUGGGAUGCACCUGGGCCUGGGCCUCCCCAUGGGUCCCGUGGCUCUUCCUGUGGGCAGGGGGAGGGGUGCUGAGGAGCCCUUCCUGCCCGGAGGAGCCCGCACAUCUGUGCCUUUUUGCAUGGUGUGGCAUGUGUAUUUAACCAUUCUUUUUACAGUUAGAUAUCAAGAUUGCUUCCAAUUUUUUUCUGUCGUAAACAGGGCUGUGAAAACAUUUGGGAUGGUAACUCUUUUCUACAUCCCUGUUUCCUAUGAGGCGUAUCUCAAAACUGAAAUCCUGGGUCAUAGGAUACAAAAAAUAUCAGUCUUUAAAUACAAUAUCUGUUGCCAAAUUGCUCUCAAUAAGGGUUCUGGUGGCUUAUACCCCCUGUCCUCCGCUCCCCCGCCCCCCUCAGAGCCUUUUUCCUUCCAUCUGGAGGUCCUUUCUGAGUUAAGGACAAGGCUGGUGCUGUUUUGGUCUUUGGUUAACCCAACAAAAUACCCAGGGUGUGUAGGUGUGUGCUCUGGAGGCAGAGAGGGCUACAAAAUCAUUUUCUAUGAAAAAAGGAAGUCCUCGAAGUCAUCUCUUCUGUCUUCCUGAUGUGUUGCUUAAAUCCCUGAGUACACGGGCCGUGCACAGAGGCUAUACGGAAAUUGGAAACAAAAACAAAAACCCAGAGAGAAAAAAGGAAAAAACAAAAAAAAAGAAGCUUGCCUGAGAUGGUGAGAUCAUGGGAGGUUUUCUUUUUCUAGUCAAAAUAUUUUUACAGUAGAAAUGGAGGGGAGGGGAUCUCAUCCUUAACCAGAAGUGAACGCAACUUUGUUAGAUAUUAGACACAUCGGGAUAGACAAUGAGCCCCACGGAGCACUGGGGCUCAAGUCUGGCUGACUGUGC